UACAGAGGGUGCAAGCGUUGUUCGGAAUUACUGGGCGUAAAGCGCGCGCAGGCGGCUCUUUAAGUCUAUGGGUCAAAGCCCGGGGCUCAACCCCGUGGUCGCCCGGGAUACUGGAGAGCUAGGGACAUGUAGGGGCGAGCGGAAUUCCGGGUGUAGCGGUGGAAUGCGUAGAGAUCCGGAAGAACACCGGGGGCGAAGGCGGCUCGCUGGGCAUGGUCCGACGCUGAGGCGCGAAAGCGUGGGGAGCGAACAGG
rnacentral:rRNA from 1 species